AGUGAACGCUGGCGGUAGGCCUAACACAUGCAAGUCGAACGGCAGCACAGUAAGAGCUUGCUCUUACGGGUGGCGAGUGGCGGACGAGUGAGGAAUACAUCGGAAUCUACUUUUUCGUGGGGGAUAACGUAGGGAAACUUACGCUAAUACCGCAUACGACCUACGGGUGAAAGCAGGGGAUCUUCGGACCUUGCGCGAUUGAAUGAGCCGAUGUCGGAUUAGCUAGUUGGCGGGGUAAAGGCCCACCAAGGCGACGAUCCGUAGCUGGUCUGAGAGGAUGAUCAGCCACACUGGAACUGAGACACGGUCCAGACUCCUACGGGAGGCAGCAGUGGGGAAUAUUGGACAAUGGGCGCAAGCCUGAUCCAGCCAUACCGCGUGGGUGAAGAAGGCCUUCGGGUUGUAAAGCCCUUUUGUUGGGAAAGAAAAGCAGCAGGUUAAUACCCCGCUGUUCUGACGGUACCCAAGGAGUAAGCACCGGCUAACUUCGUG
rnacentral:rRNA from 1 species